AGUUCCCCCUGAGACUUAGAGUCUCCUGAAGGAACGUUGAAGACGACGACGUUGAUAGGCCGGGUGUGUAAGCGCAGCGAUGCGUUGAGCUAACCGGUACUAAUGAACCGUGAGGCUUAACCUUACAACGCCGAAG
rnacentral:rRNA from 1 species